rnacentral:rRNA from 1 species
AACCUUUACACUACGCGCAAGCGUGAUAAGGGGAUCCUGAGUGCUCAUGCACUGCAUGGGCUUUUGCCAAGGGUAAAUACCUUGGCGAAUAAGUGGUGGACAAGACUGGUGCCAGCCGCCGCGGUAACCCCAGCGCCACUAGUGGGGAUCGUAUUUAUUUGGCCUAAAGCGUCCGUAGCCGGACUGCUAAAUCUUCUGUGAAAUCGUUGCGCUUAACGUAACGGCGUGCAGGAGACACUUACAGUCUAGGGACUGGGAGGCGUCAGAUGUAUGCAGAGCGGAGCAGUAAAAUGCUAUAAUUCUCUGUAGACAACCGGUGGCGAAGGCGUCUGACGAGAACAGGUCCGACGGUCAGGGACGAAAGCGAGGGGAGCAAUCCGG